CGGAGGGUGCAAGCGUUGUCCGGAUUUAUUGGGUUUAAAGGGUGCGUAGGUGGGGACUAAGUCUGGUUUGAAAGCCGGUGGCUCAAACCAUCGGAUGUGGCUGGAAACUGGUUUUCUUGAAUGGGUUGGCGGCUGCCGGAACGGGUCAUGUAGCGGUGAAAUGCAUAGAUAUGACCCAGAACACCGAUUGCGAAGGCAGGCAGCUAGGACCUGAUUGACACUGAGGCACGAGAGCAUGGGUAGCGAACAGGAUU
rnacentral:rRNA from 1 species